rnacentral:lncRNA from 1 species
CCCCGGGCAGCGCCCCCAGUCCCCAACGACUCCCCCCUCCUCCCGCCGCCCUGGACACGCCCGGGGGCCGCCCAGCGCCGCGGCCGCGAGUGUGGGGCCAGGGAAGAGCCGCUCGGGCCGUCCCCGCGCACCAAGGCCGGCGGGCGGCCUCGCCAGGUCAGUGUCCGUGAGCAGGUGCCGCGUGCAGGCCUUCUCAGCCCCCAGAAGCCCGGUCCGGGCGCCCGGGGGACCCUCGGCCGGGACUGCUCGGCCGCCCGGUGCUAAGACUCCAGGCUUCUCCUGCCAGGGACGCGGGUUCCAGCCCUGGCCCGGGAACUGAGAUCGCGCGCGCUCUGCGGCACGGCCCCAAAAAACAAAAGAGGGGACCCCGUCUCCCUCUCCAGGAACUAGGGCAGCGACGCGCGGACGUGAGCAGGCGCGCCGCCCGGGAGCGCUCCCAGGCGCUUCGGUGCGUUUGAAGGGACGGGCGUCGGCGGGGCCCCCGGGCGCAGGCCCCCCCUGACCGAGAUCCCGAGUGAGGAAGUCUGCGCCGAGGCCGGGGCCGAGCCCCCCAAACCCCGCGGCGGUUCUGGUCCGGGCCGCCCCGAGGCCCUGCCCGGCCGUGAAGCACUGGAGGCGCCGGGUCUCCGGGCCACCUCCGCACCCCAACCCCGGGCCGUGGCCGGGUCCCCGGGAAAGGCGUCAGCAUCACCCAUUCUUUAACCGAACCAAGAGCCUCACACCCCUCCCGCAGCUGGUGCGCGCACAUGUCGGGAGAGGGUUACACACCGGGAAUCCAUCAAGACGCCCCUUCGGUCCGGUCCGCUCCGCGGCGGGGCUGCGGGCGCCACCUGCUGCCUGCGCCGGGGGUCGCGACAGAGCGGGGCUGGAAAGACAGACGGACGAACGCACGGGACCCGGAACUGCGGCAAUCCCGCACCUAAUCCACCUGAGUCAGAACAUCGUCUCUCCCCGCCCUGCCCUGAGCAGUGCCUGCAGCUUCCAUACCCGUCCCCCUUUUUCACUAAUAACGUCUGCUCUGGGUCCUUCAUUCUUACCAAGAUAUAGGUCGUUGGUGUGAGUUUCCCUUUACCUGUAAUUCCCUUGGGGGAGGUAGUGGGGUGUUGGCAUAAAGUCUGAGGCAAAGGGGGAGGAAAGGUGCUUAUGAUGGAAUUAUAGAUAAUUUCAAAAUUAUAGGAAAUGAGGAAUUCUCUGAUGAUUUUAAAAGGCAAAAUAUAUGUGCAAAAAUCCAUGCAGAGGAGCAGAAUAGUUUCAUAAAAAUCUUAUAUAAGGUACUUUGUUUUGUAAUGAUGUAUUAGGUUAUUUUAAAAAAUUCUAACUCGUCUUUCUUUCAUCUUUUAACCUUUUGAUUUGCAUUUAUUUCACCUUCAAUGUAACUACAUAAAUUUCAGUUACUCUUGAAUCAGAAUGGCUGGUUUUAAUCCGUUUUCCACUUAAUUGCGGCCGUGUGUGAGUUUCCAGCCCUUUCAAAGGAGCGCUUAUUCAACAUUUAUCUUAAGGUCUUUUCUCGGAACCUGGAAGAAUACUGAAAACUCAGAGAAAUAAGCCCAGAAGACCCCACUAGUGUCUCCUCUCUCAGUCUAAAGAAGACAAAAAUGCCUCUGAAAGAACACAUGAAUAGCUGAGACCUUUUCAAAGACAUCCAAAAAUUCCAGCUUCCACAGUCAUUGAUUCUAAACUCUUUUUAGAAUCUCAUCCUGGGCUGGUGUCGUGACUGUGACUUCUCUGAAACGACUCCACACACACCCUGUUACCCCUUUCUCCCCUGUCCCCUGAAACCCUCCCUGCAGGGAGACUCUGAACUCAGACCUAAAUUGAAGAGACUCUGCCCCUUGCUUGUUUCACUUUGGUGAAGUUAUUUUGCCUCUAUGAGCCUAACUCCUUGUGUAUAAGAAGGGAGUCAUUAAUUAUCUCUCAGGCAGUAGUCAUGCAGAUUAAAUGACAGGCGCGUUUAUGAACCCAAUUCCCUAAAUGACAAGUGGUGACUGUCUCACUCAAACUCACACUGUCUCCCUCCUGUCCAGCACACUCGGGGCUCCUCUCAUCAGCAGCCCCUAUGG